GCUUGCCGAUUUGCUGGCAAAAGCGAUGGCGGCUGAUAUCCGCCAUCCUCAGGUUUCACGCCUGCCGGCAGGUU
rnacentral:tRNA from 1 species